rnacentral:sRNA from 2 species
UUAUAUUCUCCACAGGGGGGGAUGAGAACCCCCGACCGGGGUUCGACAACUGGCGCAGCCAGUUGGACAGACUGCGAGCCUGCGAGCGGGCUGCCCCGCAGGGGCGAGCGAAGCGAGUCAAUCCCCCCCUCACCGCCA